UCGGGAAUUUUGGGCAAUGGGCGAAAGCCUGACCCAGCAACGCCGCGUGAAGGAUGAAGUAUUUCGGUAUGUAAACUUCGAAAGAAUAGGAAGAAUAAAUGACGGUACUAUUUAUAAGGUCCGGCUAACUACGUGCCAGCAGCCGCGGUAAUACGUAGGGACCAAGCGUUGUUCGGAUUUACUGGGCGUAAAGGGCGCGUAGGCGGCGUGGUAAGUCAUCUGUGAAAUCUCCGAGCUUAACUCGGAACGGUCAGAUGAUACUGCUUUGCUAGAGUGCAGAAGGGGCAAUCGGAAUUCUUGGUGUAGCGGUGAAAUGCGUAGAUAUCAAGAGGAACACCUGAGGUGAAGACGGGUUGCUGGGCUGACACUGACGCUGAGGCGCGAAAGCCAGGGGAGCAAACGGGAUUAGAUACCCUUGUAGUCCCUGAGCGGGCUGGCAAGGCGCAU
rnacentral:rRNA from 1 species